ACUAGACUAGUCCAUAUAUAUAUAUAUAUAGAGUUGGGCUAAAAUACUAUUGAUAGCAAAAAUCCUUUUUUGCUAUCAAUUUUUUAGUUUUUCGAUCAAUUCUUUUAAUCAUUUCUAACAAUUGGAUUAAAUAUUAUAAUCCAGUGAAGACCACUCAAUCUUAGGGGGACAACUCAAUCUUAGGUGGACCACUCAACCCUAAGGGCUAAUAUCAUUCUAAUCCUAUAAUUUUUCAUCCAAAAGCCAAAAAUUUGAUAGUAACAAAAAACUUUUACUAUCAAUAGUAUUCCGGCCUAACUCUCUCUCUCAAUAUACGCAACACUUGUAUAU
rnacentral:lncRNA from 1 species